GAAAUGCUAUAAGCAAUGUUAAUUGCAGAAUUCAGUGAAUCAUCGAAGCUUUCAACGCACAUUGCGCCCGCUGGUAUUCCGGGGGGCAUGCCUGUUCGAGCGUCAUUUCACCACUCAAGCAAUGCUUGGUAUUAGGCACUCGUCCGUCCCUCGCGGCGGGCGGGCAUCAAAACCUUCGGCGAAGUCACAACGGCUUUGGGCGCAGUAGAAUCAUCUUAAACGCUCUGUGAGUCCGGUCGAGUCUUUUGCCGCGAAAGAUUCUCACGAAUCAUCUUUUUCAAAGGUUGACAUCGGAUCAGGUAGGGAUAACCGCUGAACUUAA
rnacentral:misc_RNA from 1 species